UACGGGGGGGGGCAAGCGUUGUUCGGAAUUACUGGGCGUAAAGGGCUCGUAGGCGGCCAACUAAGUCGGAUGUGAAAUCCCCAGGCUCAACCUGGGAACUGCAUCCGAUACUGGAUGGCUUGAAUUCGGGAGAGGGAUGCAGAAUUCCAGGUGUAGCGGUGAAAUGCGUAGAUAUCUGGAGGAAUACCGGUGGCGAAGGCGGCAUCCUGGACCGACAUUGACGCUGAGGAGCGAAAGCUGAGGGGAGCAAACGGGAU
rnacentral:rRNA from 1 species